CCUACGGGAGGCAGCAGUGAGGAAUAUUGGUCAAUGGACGCAAGUCUGAACCAGCCAUGCCGCGUGCAGGAAGACGGCUUUCGGGUUGUAAACUUCUUUUAAGGGGGAAGAGGAGAAGACGGUACCCCUUGAAUAAGCCACGGCUAACUACGUGCCAGCAGCCGCGGUAAUACGUAGGUGGCAAGCGUUGUCCGGAUUUACUGGGUGUAAAGGGCGUGCAGCCGGGCUGACAAGUCAGAUGUGAAAUCCGCGGGCUUAACCCGCGAACUGCAUUUGAAACUAUUGGACUUGAGUGCCGGAGAGGUAAUCGGAAUUCCUUGUGUAGCGGUGAAAUGCGUAGAUAUAAGGAAGAACACCAGUGGCGAAGGCGAAUUACUGGACGGUAACUGACGGUGAGGCGCGAAAGCGUGGGGAGCAAACAGGAUUAGAUACCCGUGUAGUC
rnacentral:rRNA from 1 species